CCAUCCACUGCAGGACACUCAGGAGAAACGUCACAGGGCCAUUAGCAGAACCUGCGGAGAUUCUGUUCAUCAGCAAACAUGCAGCAUGUCCUCUGUUGUCCCUCGGGGCCGUCGGCCCCGGACAGCACUGCUGACAUUUAGCGUCGCCCCAGUGGCAGCGGGUCAAGGGCUGCUGCUCAAAACGAUGACAUAUCGGACACAAAAGGGACAACAAUGUGCAGGAGGCUGCAGUUAGCCGGACUGGCAGCUACAUUUACUCUGAUUCCAAACACCUGGAUGCACAGAAAGGAGCCGCUUCUGUCAUCUGGUGCCAAACGCAACAGAUGUUGUUAGUUCGUACGCCAGUCACGAAGCCGGAGCAGACGGUGGAGGUUGGCAGCAG